ACUGCUCAGUAACACGUGGAUAACCUGCACAAGGGUCCGGGAUAACCCCGGGAAACUGGGGAUAAUACCGGAUGGAUCACUAGUGCUGGAAUGCUUGGUGGUCGAAAGGUAACGCCUUUGGAUGGGUCUGCGGCGGAUUAGGUUGACGCCGGUGUAACGUACCGGCGUGCCUGUAAUCCGUACGGGUUGUGGGAGCAAGAGCCCGGAGAUGGAUUCUGAGACACGAAUCCAGGCCCUACGGGGCGCAGCAGGCGCGAAAACUCUACAAUGCAGGCAACUGCGAUAGGGGGACAUCGAGUGGCAUCCACCUUGGGUGCCUGUCCAACCGUCUAAAAAACGGUUGUUAGCAAGGGCCGGGUAAGACCGGUGCCAGCCGCCGCGGUAAUACCGGCGGCUCGAGUGGUGGCCGAUAUUAUUGAGUCUAAAGGGUCCGUAGCCGGCUUUGCAAGUCCCCUGGGAAAUCCAGCGGCUUAACCGUUGGGCUUUCACGGGAUACUACAUUGCUUGGGACUGGGAGAGGUAGGAGGUACUCGGGGGGUAGGGGUGAAAUCCUGUAAUCCUCCGGGGACCACCGGUGGCGAAGGCGUCCUACCAGAACAGGUCCGACGGUGAGGGACGAAAGCUAGGGGCACGAACCGGAUUAGAUACCCGGGUAGUCCUAGCCGUAAACGAUGCCCGCUAGGUGUCACGACGGUCGUGAAUCGUCGUGGUGCCGUAGGGAAGCCGCGAAGCGGGCCACUUGGGAAGUACGGCCGCAAGGCUGAAACUUAAAGGAAUUGGCGGGGGAG
rnacentral:rRNA from 1 species